rnacentral:rRNA from 3 species
GGACUACAGGGGUAUCUAAUCCCCUUCGCUCCCCUAGCUUUCGUACCUCAGCGUCAGAAGAGACCCAGUAAGCCGCUUUCGCCACCGGUGUUCCUGAUGAUAUCAACGCAUUUCACCGCUCCACCAUCAGUUCCGCUUACCUCUGUCUCCCUCAAGCACUGCAGUAUCGGGCGCAAUUCCUCGGUUGAGCCGAGGGCUUUCACACCCGACUAACAGCGCCGCCUACGUACCCUUUAAGCCCAGUAAUUCCGAAUAACGUUUGGACGGUUCGUAUUACCGCGGCUGCUGGCAC